rnacentral:sRNA from 1 species
AUGCUGGAGGUUCGCUAGCCGAAGCGGCUGCAUCUGGCGCCGCGUCUGCCCCGCGUGCUCGGAGCGGAUUCUGCCCGCCGUCCCCGGAGCCCUCGGCGCCCCGCUGAGCCCGCGAUCACUUCCUCCCUGUGACCAACCGGCGCUGCAGGUUAGAGCCUGGCAAUGCCGUUUGGGUGUGUGACUCUGGGCGACAAGAAGAACUAUAACCAGCCAUCGGAGGUGUUUGACUGGAUCCUGGACCAGGGCUACUACUCGGAGCGAGACACAAGCAACGUGGUACGGCAAGUCCUGGAGGCCGUGGCCUAUUUGCACUCACUCAAGAUCGUGCACAGGAAUCUCAAGCUGGAGAACCUGGUUUACUACAACCGGCUGAAGAACUCGAAGAUUGUCAUCAGUGACUUCCAUCUGGCUAAGCUAGAAAAUGGCCUCAUCAAGGAGCCCUGUGGGACCCCCGAGUAUCUGGGCAAGCAGGGGGUGGGGCAGGGGCAGGGGGAUAAUGGGGGGCAGCCUUCA